rnacentral:rRNA from 1 species
UAAGCGACUAAGCGUACACGGUGGAUGCCCUGGCAGUCAGAGGCGAUGAAGGACGUGCUAAUCUGCGAUAAGCGUCGGUAAGGUGAUAUGAACCGUUAUAACCGGCGAUUUCCGAAUGGGGAAACCCAGUGUGAUUCGUCACACUAUCAUUAACUGAAUCCAUAGGUUAAUGAGGCGAACCGGGGGAACUGAAACAUCUAAGUACCCCGAGGAAAAGAAAUCAACCGAGAUUCCCCCAGUAGCGGCGAGCGAACGGGGAGCAGCCCAGAGCCUGAAUCAGUGUGUGUGUUAGUGGAAGCGUCUGGAAAGGCGCGCGAUACAGGGUGACAGCCCCGUACACAAAAAUGCACAUGCUGUGAGCUCGAUGAGUAGGGCGGGACACGUGGUAUCCUGUCUGAAUAUGGGGGGACCAUCCUCCAAGGCUAAAUACUCCUGACUGACCGAUAGUGAACCAGUACCGUGAGGGAAAGGCGAAAAGAACCCCGGCGAGGGGAGUGAAAAAGAACCUGAAACCGUGUACGUACAAGCAGUGGGAGCACAGAGCAAUCUGUGUGACUGCGUACCUUUUGUAUAAUGGGUCAGCGACUUAUAUUCUGUAGCAAGGUUAACCGAAUAGGGGAGCCGAAGGGAAACCGAGUCUUAACUGGGCGUUAAGUUGCAGGGUAUAGACCCGAAACCCGGUGAUCUAGCCAUGGGCAGGUUGAAGGUUGGGUAACACUAACUGGAGGACCGAACCGACUAAUGUUGAAAAAUUAGCGGAUGACUUGUGGCUGGGGGUGAAAGGCCAAUCAAACCGGGAGAUAGCUGGUUCUCCCCGAAAGCUAUUUAGGUAGCGCCUCGUGAAUUCAUCUCCGGGGGUAGAGCACUGUUUCGGCAAGGGGGUCAUCCCGACUUACCAACCCGAUGCAAACUGCGAAUACCGGAGAAUGUUAUCACGGGAGACACACGGCGGGUGCUAACGUCCGUCGUGAAGAGGGAAACAACCCAGACCGCCAGCUAAGGUCCCAAAGUCAUGGUUAAGUGGGAAACGAUGUGGGAAGGCCCAGACAGCCAGGAUGUUGGCUUAGAAGCAGCCAUCAUUUAAAGAAAGCGUAAUAGCUCACUGGUCGAGUCGGCCUGCGCGGAAGAUGUAACGGGGCUAAACCAUGCACCGAAGCUGCGGCAGCGACGCUUAUGCGUUGUUGGGUAGGGGAGCGUUCUGUAAGCCUGCGAAGGUGUGCUGUGAGGCAUGCUGGAGGUAUCAGAAGUGCGAAUGCUGACAUAAGUAACGAUAAAGCGGGUGAAAAGCCCGCUCGCCGGAAGACCAAGGGUUCCUGUCCAACGUUAAUCGGGGCAGGGUGAGUCGACCCCUAAGGCGAGGCCGAAAGGCGUAGUCGAUGGGAAACAGGUUAAUAUUCCUGUACUUGGUGUUACUGCGAAGGGGGGACGGAGAAGGCUAUGUUGGCCGGGCGACGGUUGUCCCGGUUUAAGCGUGUAGGCUGGUUUUCCAGGCAAAUCCGGAAAAUCAAGGCUGAGGCGUGAUGACGAGGCACUACGGUGCUGAAGCAACAAAUGCCCUGCUUCCAGGAAAAGCCUCUAAGCAUCAGGUAACAUCAAAUCGUACCCCAAACCGACACAGGUGGUCAGGUAGAGAAUACCAAGGCGCUUGAGAGAACUCGGGUGAAGGAACUAGGCAAAAUGGUGCCGUAACUUCGGGAGAAGGCACGCUGAUAUGUAGGUGAAGUCCCUCGCGGAUGGAGCUGAAAUCAGUCGAAGAUACCAGCUGGCUGCAACUGUUUAUUAAAAACACAGCACUGUGCAAACACGAAAGUGGACGUAUACGGUGUGACGCCUGCCCGGUGCCGGAAGGUUAAUUGAUGGGGUUAGCGCAAGCGAAGCUCUUGAUCGAAGCCCCGGUAAACGGCGGCCGUAACUAUAACGGUCCUAAGGUAGCGAAAUUCCUUGUCGGGUAAGUUCCGACCUGCACGAAUGGCGUAAUGAUGGCCAGGCUGUCUCCACCCGAGACUCAGUGAAAUUGAACUCGCUGUGAAGAUGCAGUGUACCCGCGGCAAGACGGAAAGACCCCGUGAACCUUACUAUAGCUUGACACUGAACAUUGAGCCUUGAUGUGUAGGAUAGGUGGGAGGCUUUGAAGUGUGGACGCCAGUCUGCAUGGAGCCGACCUUGAAAUACCACCCUUUAAUGUUUGAUGUUCUAACGUGGACCCGUAAUCCGGGUUGCGGACAGUGUCUGGUGGGUAGUUUGACUGGGGCGGUCUCCUCCUAAAGAGUAACGGAGGAGCACGAAGGUUGGCUAAUCCUGGUCGGACAUCAGGAGGUUAGUGCAAUGGCAUAAGCCAGCUUGACUGCGAGCGUGACGGCGCGAGCAGGUGCGAAAGCAGGUCAUAGUGAUCCGGUGGUUCUGAAUGGAAGGGCCAUCGCUCAACGGAUAAAAGGUACUCCGGGGAUAACAGGCUGAUACCGCCCAAGAGUUCAUAUCGACGGCGGUGUUUGGCACCUCGAUGUCGGCUCAUCACAUCCUGGGGCUGAAGUAGGUCCCAAGGGUAUGGCUGUUCGCCAUUUAAAGUGGUACGCGAGCUGGGUUUAGAACGUCGUGAGACAGUUCGGUCCCUAUCUGCCGUGGGCGCUGGAGAAUUGAGGGGGGCUGCUCCUAGUACGAGAGGACCGGAGUGGACGCAUCACUGGUGUUCGGGUUGUCAUGCCAAUGGCACUGCCCGGUAGCUAAAUGCGGAAGAGAUAAGUGCUGAAAGCAUCUAAGCACGAAACUUGCCCCGAGAUGAGUUCUCCCUGACUCCUUGAGAGUCCUGAAGGAACGUUGAAGACGACGACGUUGAUAGGCCGGGUGUGUAAGCGCAGCGAUGCGUUGAGCUAACCGGUACUAAUGAACCGUGAGGCUUAACCU